rnacentral:tRNA from 1 species
AGGGAUGUAGCUCAGUGGUAGUGCCUGCCUCACAAGCGCAAGGUCCUGAGUUCAAUCCCCAGUACCCCUC